GGAUUCACAACAGUAGCAAAAUCAUAGUUAUGACGUAGCAAUGGAAAUAACGUGAUGGUUGGUGACCACCACACCCUGAGCACUGUACUGAACCGUUGUGACGUUAGGAAGGCUGAGAACCACUGCUGUAAAGGGUUAGAAUGUCUUUCGAGCUUCCCAACCAACCCUCCGGCCGUCCUAUGGCGAUCUCUUCGUAGAUGCUAUCUGGUGAUGCUGCUAAACUGAGCAGUAAGACUUCUCUUUAGCGUCUCCAUUGCUCUUCCUUUGGUUAUUAUCUUCCUCUCCCAGUACAUCCUGUUCUUUGAUGCCCUUUCUUCAGCCUGGCAUCUUCAUGUCACACAGCAUUCUCCUUUCCCAACUUCCACAAUGGCCUGAUCUGUGCUGUCUCGGGGUCUUGAUGGGUGGUGGAGUAAUGGUACCCUUUGAUGAGCAGUGGAUGCUGAAAUUUCAAAUGAAAGCUGGGUCUCACUGUAUUUCUGUGGCUGCAAUUUAAAAGGCCAGUUUGGAUCAACUCUCUUUUAACUUCAAGGAUUGACUCAAUGGGGAAAGGUUGGAUUGUUCAAGCUUAUGGAGGAACAAUCAGUCAGCAGAGGGAUCUAUGUUUUCUCGACAAUGUACCUUCCAGGUGACUCCCCGUCCCUCUUUGUCUCAGACCACUGCUUACCCACUGAUGCCGGAAGUCACAUGGACCCUACUACAAGGUUUAGAGUACAUCUUCAGAGCAGGGCUUGGGCAGCCGAAUGGUUCUCCGCAACAGAAGCUUCUGGAGAAGCGUGAUUCAGUGCUCCCUCUCAUAAAAGGUUAUUGCCGAUUCCAUGAAACUUGCAGACACUUAGGGAGGGCACCUGCCACUCCCCGUUCCCCCCUCCAUGUCGCCACGUCUCAGCGGCUUUGCUCUUCCUUCCGUGAUUUCACAGUCGAGGGCUCCCAGGAACAGCCAGAGCGGCACACACUGGGUAACCAACAUUUUCCCAUUAAGUCUCCACUUCCCUUGCUUUAUAAUAGACUCCUGUCAGACCACAGAGUUGCCGUACAUAAGACAGACGAGCUUUAAAACUCGUGGAGAGAAACGUCUUUCAACUGCUUUUGAAGGGACCGAAUGUUACACAGGAAGAGAAUCUGAGAAAGUCUCCUCAUGCGUUUGGCUACCCAUCUGGCUGACUGACUUCUGAAACAGCUGGAGUUUCCAAAUGUAAAGUCGGGCUUAAAGAUGUCCUGGGUGAGAAAUACUGCCUCAAGUUUAAAAGGAAAAAAAAAAAAGAUUGACCCAAUUUGAAGAAGGAAGGGAAAGUUCAGACAAAGACACAAAUUGUUCAGUGUCUGUUUCCCUCGUCCUAAGAAUUAUGGUUCUAAAUAAAAAUUAAAACCAAAGCUGAAAACAAAAACAAGUAAACACAAACAAAAAAUCCAGAAAGGACUCCACUGACCUCCACGCCUGACAUCGUUCUUCAGCCGCUUUCUCCUUCCAUACAAUGCUCUAAGUCUCAGUGCUUGGCCAACACAGAUACCGCCCAUGUGGCAGACACCGCGCCUGUGCGGCUACCACGGUAUUCUUCUUCUGAAGGAAUGGUUUACCACAGCAAGAAUUCAUCAGGAAUCUGUGUUCUCAGCUCCAUGGAUGCAGCGGCGGACAAAACAGACAAGCUUCCCAACCUCGUGAUAUGUAUAUUCUGAUGAGAAGAGACAAGAACAAACAAACACCUGUUAGGUGGAAGAUGUUACAAGGAACCAUGGAGCCUGAUGCGUCCAACAUGACUGUAUCCACCUGGAUAUGUGUGGGAAUGGGAUUUGCCCCAUUGCUUUGCAUUUUGUAGACAAUGAAGUGGGAGUGAAAGCCAUCGGUGGCCUCUGGGUAGAAACAUUGUUUCCAGGCUUUGACUCUUCUUUGCAGUGGCAAUUGUUUUGAAAAGGACUGAUGAAGGAGGAUUGCCAGGGAGAAUCCCUCGGUAGACUUUUCAUAGUGCCGUCUUUUAAGCCAAGGAGAUUUGGAAAUUGGUUUUUACUGGUCUGAAUCGGAGCAGAGUGGGGGGCAGGGAUUGGAGUGGGGGCUGAGCUCACAGAGAGGGUAGGCUGGGGAUUUCUCUCUGAAUAGACGUUUGAGAGGGAAGUUGAUUGAAGGAGUACGUGAGCUGAGGUACUCUGAAGGCAAGGCUACUCUUGGUUGCUCACUCUAGGAAGAGAUGUGCAUGCCCCCGUAACAUAGACUUGAAAUCCAUUGAUUUUCAGACACUAUUCCUUCCCUGAGAUUUUAUUAAAAUAAACACAUUAAUGUAAGGAACAUGAUGACAUGCACUCCUAACAUUGCUGUUCCUUGCCUGGAGUUUUGUCUUAGGCGUUGCCCACUUUCCAUCUGAUUUCAGGCUGUGACCAGGCUCUGCGGAAUCCAUCAACACGUUCAUGCUGAUUCUCAGCAGCGACGAAGGCCAGACAGCUUUCAUCAGCAUGCUCAGAUCUGAGCUUAUUCCCCAAGGGUGGUGGUGGUGGUGGGGAGAAUAACACACUCUGUUUUGUUCCCUUUGGCCUGUUAUGACUGUUUUAGAGAAACACAUAAAGUAAAUCAGCUCAAAGAUAAAGCAAUGUAAUGCGUUUUUCAGCUGUGAAAAUUGUCUUGGCCGCAUGCAAUUACUUUUCCUCUCAAUGUGUAACAACUGAUGUUUAAAUCGUGCUAUCAGUAGGCACUCUUUAUUUUCUUAUUCAUGGGUGUCAUUCAGGUACUCAGUAUGUUAUAAUUUAAAUUCUGAUUCUUUAAAAAUAUAAACGCAGGAAAGGAUGCCCUUUUUAUAUAAAUCACAUAUAUGUUAACCCACUGUGAUGAUUGCAAUGUUUCUGCCUGCUUUAGAUACCAGAUGAGACAUGAACCGAUGAUUAUAAUGAUGGAGAUUAAGUAGUGUGAGAGACUCAGCAGGUGUGCCGGGAGCCGAACACCAGGGACUUCUGACAGCACCUUCUUGGAGCCAGAGACUUCUCUAGAGGUUUAAACAUCUUGACUCACACAGCUGUUAGAAUGGCGGAAGUGAGUGGAUUAAGAAGGGAAAUUGAAUUUCUCUAGAAGGUGAUGUAAGGCUUUCCUGAUCGUCUGUCAGACUCGAAUGCUAGGGUUUGGAUGUUGAAUGUUACAGGUUCGAUCCCCAGGGUGGUGUGUUUGGAGGCGUGGCCUGUUUUAGAGACUGGGGUUAAUGGAAGGCCUUGGAGCAAGAGGAGCAGAGGACAUGCCUUCAUAGAGGACUGUGGGAUACUGUGCCCCUUUUUCUUCCCCAAGAGCUGGAGCCUCUGAAGCCAUGGACCAGAGCUGGAGGUGUUGCUUCUAUCUGUAAAACCAGUGUUGUCACAGAAGACGUCCCUGACCUAAGUACAGAAAGAAGAAUUAAAUUUAAUAUUUAAAAAUCCUGCACAUAAUUUUCUGGGCACACAGCAUGGACCCAUCUUAUCGUAUUUCAAUAAAACACAAAAAGCA